ensembl:snRNA U6 U6 spliceosomal RNA
GCUCCCAUUGGCAGAACAGACACUAAAAUUGGAAGGAUACAGAGAAGACUGGCAUGAAACCUGCAUUCGGGUGACAUGCAGACUCGAGGGGCAUUCCAUGAUAGA